rnacentral:tRNA from 1 species
GGGGAUUUGGCUCAGUAGCAUAAGCACCUGCCUGAUGAGCACGAGGUCGUGAGUUCAAUCCCCA